rnacentral:rRNA from 1 species
UACGAAGGGGGCUAGCGUUGCUCGGAAUCACUGGGCGUAAAGCGCACGUAGGCGGACUCUUAAGUCAGAGGUGAAAUCCUGGAGCUCAACUCCAGAACUGCCUUUGAUACUGAGGAUCUUGAGUACGGGAGAGGUGAGUGGAACUGCGAGUGUAGAGGUGAAAUUCGUAGAUAUUCGCAAGAACACCAGUGGCGAAGGCGGCUCA